CCCGUGCAUGAGUGGCGGACGGGUGAGUAACGCGUGGGCAACCUGCCCUGUACAGGGGGACAACACUUAGAAAUAGGUGCUAAUACCGCAUAACGGGGGGAGCCGCAUGGCACCCCCUGAAAACUCCGGUGGUACAGGAUGGGCCCGCGUCUGAUUAGCUGGUUGGCAGGGUAACGGCCUACCAAGGCGACGAUCAGUAGCCGGCCUGAGAGGGCGGACGGCCACACUGGGACUGAGACACGGCCCAGACUCCUACGGAAGGCAGCAG
rnacentral:rRNA from 1 species